UACGGGGGGGGCAAGCGUUGUUCGGAAUUACUGGGCGUAAAGGGCUCGUAGGCGGCCAACUAAGUCGGAUGUGAAAUCCCCAGGCUUAACCUGGGAACUGCAUCCGAUACUGGAUGGCUUGAUCCGGGAGAGGGAUGCAGAAUUCCAGGUGUAGCGGUGAAAUGCGUAGAUAUCUGGGGGAAUACCGGUGGCGAAGGCGGCAUCCUGGACCGGCAUUGACGCUGAGUGAGCGAAAGCCAGGGGAGCAAACGG
rnacentral:rRNA from 1 species